rnacentral:lncRNA from 10 species
CAGGAAUCUGACCCUCAGAAAAUAAUCACAUGCGCGGAGCUCACUAGUGGCAGAGCCCACGACACCCGCUCCUCUCCAGCUCUCUCUUUAGGGACAGAGAGGAAUAUGUGAGCAGGAGAGAAGGGUCAUGUUGGAGCAGCCAGGACUCAGAGCCUUUCCGCAGACUGAGUCUGGAUCCUUUCCUUCAGCCUCCAGGAAUACUCCCGGCUCCACACCCAGAAUGGUAAUCCAGGCAAGGGCUCUGGUGUGUGGCCACACUGCCACCUAUUACCUGCGGGUCCAAAUGCAGUGACUCAACUUCUCUGUGCCUCUCUUUCCACAUGUAUAAAAUGAGGAUAAUGUUGCUAUUGUAAGAAUUGCAUCAAUUAAUAAACAGCACUCAGUGAAUCUGUUAGCCCAU